CUGAUCGAACUUGUGCAGAUAAAGAAAUGCAUAUUUGGUCGGAGAAAAAGAUGGCGGUGAAGUAGAGGGACGUGGAAUGCAUCCCCCUCCACAGAUGCAUUGGGAAUGCACCAAAAGACGCAAUAAUUCCCACAGAGAACCAGCUGAACACCAGCAGACAACCUCGGACACCAGAAAGGACCACAAGGAUCCCGACAUAACCGGACCCUCACAGCUGCAGGGGGCACUGGAAGGCCGAAGACCAGACUCUGAUGACCAACAGGAUUCCCACGGCCAACUGAGCUAGGGACCAGUGAGACCUAGAGGGGCCACAGGAGGACUGAAGACCAGACCUGGGGGCACAACAGGCCUCCCAGUGAGAAGACCAACACCCUGGAGGUGCCUUGGAAGGUGGAGGACCCACCCAGAAGAAAUACCUGGUAGUGCCUCCCCUAUUCUUCUGACCUGGGGAGAUCCCUUCCCACAACCACUGUCUGCCUCUCUCCCGCCCCCACACCAUGCCCCCAGGACCCUCAUGCUCUAGGGGGGCUGGGAGAGUGAAGGACCAGGCCCGGGAGCCCAGUCAGCCUUCCUGGCCAACAGGGAGGCGAAAUGACCUCUCGCCUCCCCAUUCCCCAAUUUCAAAGCCCCCACCCCCACCUGCCCACCUCCUUGCCCCUCCUCCCUCCUUCCCACACCCCCAAGUAGCAGGCAGCCCAGAGAGGGUCUUGGAGGGUGGAGGACCCUGCUGGGGAGCCCAGCAGGCCCCUAAGCUGGGGAACUGAGGAGGCCUCAUGGCCUGCUGAGUGGGAGAAACCCAGUUGCAGUUUCGCAAUAUCCCCAACCCCCAAUGGUCCCUCCAGGUGGGAACCUACACCCUCACCCAGCCACCCCCCAGGGGCACUGGUCCCUUCCAGCUUUCCCUUCCCUGCCCCCUGUCUUCACCCAUAUCCCACCCGGUUGUUCCAGGGUUCCUGGGGUCUACUUGGGCCUCAAGUCCCCUGCUGGCCUCUGGCAACUGAUCUACCUGUGGGGAGAUGUGAUCUCCACGUUGUUCCACACAGCCAUCUUGACUCUUGCCCCCCUAUGUUUAUUCUUGAACAAUGAAAUUCU